AUUUGGUUGCAGCAUAGGAGGUGGCAGUGAUUCUCCUACAUUGGCAUGUGAUAUGGGUGGUAUCAGCUGGGGAGUAGGCGGUGGAGCUGGUGUCAUCAACUCUUCAGAGGUCUCAGUUGUCCCAACCGUUUCAAUCUCUGCCUUGAGCUCCCAUGUUUGGAGGAAUGUAGAAUGAGAGGCGUUUUAUAUCAAUUGGGUUCAGUUUCCCCACAGCUUGAACUCUCAAAGACCGGAGAAGAGGUGAUGAGCACGAAAUAUUUGCAAAUUCAUCCGAACUGGGAGAACCCAUAAACCGUGGUGGCAGAACAGAUGUUGGAGUGACUGGAGAAGCACAACAGGAGGUGUUGCUCUCUGAAUAGAUCCCCAUCACAACUUUCCCAAAUGCACUAGCAGGGUGGCAGGUCAAUGAUGUCCCUGAAUUUAAAGAUCUUCUUCCUAAGCUCCAUCAUCAAGAUGAAGUUGCCCGUAAAUCGCCGUGCCCGUUCCAUCUUUGGUCCUUUCACUUCCUUUUUAUGAUAUUUGGGAUUAUUUUUGGAGGUUCCACAGCUAAUAUUAUAAUAUCUAUGUUGAGGUGGUUUUAAUUAUCGUGUUUUCUAAAUAUAUAUCUGUCAUCAACAUUAUUUCAUUGAAACAAACAAACUGAAAACUACCCUCUUUUCUUGAAUCUAUUCUAAAAUUUGUUUAUUUGCCUAAUAAUAUCACAUAAUAAGAAUCAAACAUCACAGGAAUCUUCUUGUUUCUUUAGGAAAUUCUUUCUUCCUUUUUUAGUGCAGAGACACAUACUUCUGCAACGCCCCAAUCGUUAGCUUCAUCCUUUAUUUUUUGGUCUUCUGCAGUAGCUAGCUCUGCUCAUGCCCAAAGUGGGUCGUAAGUAAACCAGGCCAAAUGCCAGUUUAAAAUUAGAAUCAGAUCGUUUCAAUUCAAAAAAAAAAAAAAUCAAAUCAUAAUUGAUCAAAUUAUUUUAAAAUCGGUCGGUUUGAUUUUGAACCAAAAUCAUACAAAUCAUUAGAAAUUGAAAGAAAAUUAAUCAAGGCAUUAAUUUAAGAAAAUUUUAGAUAUUGAAGUGAGAAGGAGGUUUAUAUUUGGUUUAUUUAUUUCUUUGUUGAUUUGGGUUGACACUGAAACUUGUUUAGAUUAAAUUACAGGCGAAAAUAGAAAAUUUUCAUUUUGAAUUAGUUUUCUGACAUUUUUGUGUUUUGUUGAGAGGGAGAGAAAGGUAAUGACAA